rnacentral:rRNA from 1 species
CCUACGGGAGGCAGCAGUGGGGAAUUUUGGACAAUGGGCGCAAGCCUGAUCCAGCAAUGCCGCGUGAGUGAAGAAGGCCUUCGGGUUGUAAAGCUCUUUUGUCAGGGAAGAAACGGUGGAGGCUAAUAUCCUUUGCUAAUGACGGUACCUGAAGAAUAAGCACCGGCUAACUACGUGCCAGCAGCCGCGGUAAUACGUAGGGUGCAAGCGUUAAUCGGAAUUACUGGGCGUAAAGCGUGCGCAGGCGGUUUUGUAAGUUUGUCGUGAAAUCCCCGGGCUCAACCUGGGAAUGGCGAUGAAGACUGUAAGGCUAGAAUCUGGCAGAGGGGGGUAGAAUUCCACGUGUAGCAGUGAAAUGCGUAGAGAUGUGGAGGAACACCGAUGGCGAAGGCAGCCCCCUGGGUCAAGAUUGACGCUCAUGCACGAAAGCGUGGGGAGCAAACAGGAUUAGAUACCCUGGUAGUCCACGCCCUAAACGAUGUCUACUAGUUGUCGGGUUUUAAUUAACUUGGUAACGCAGACUACGUACGUGAAGUAGACCGCCGUCGGGAGGUACGGUCGCGAGAAGUUAAAACGUUAAAAGUAAGUUAGUACGGUACGUGAGACGUAGCCGAACGGACGACGACGAGGGAGGUUAGG